UAAUACGAGAGGCCCAAACGUUAUUCGGAAUUACUGGGCUUAAAGAGUUCGUAGGCGGCGCAGAAAGUAGGGUGUGAAAGCCCUCGGCUCAACCGAGGAAUUGCGCUCUAAACUACUGUGCUUGAGGAAGCUAGAGGUGAGCGGAACUGAUGGUGGAGCGGUGAAAUGCGUUGAUAUCAUCAGGAACACCGGAGGCGAAGGCGGCUCACUGGGGCUUUUCUGACGCUGAGGAACGAAAGCCAGGGGAGCGAACGGGAUUAGAUACCCCGGUAGUCCUGGCCGUAAACGAUGAGCACUGGACCGGAGGACUGCACAGUUUUCCGGUCGUAGCGAAAGUGUUAAGUGCUCCGCCUGGGGAGUAUGGUCGCAAGGCUG
rnacentral:rRNA from 1 species